rnacentral:tRNA from 1 species
GCUUCCAUGGCUCAGCUGGUAGAGCGACGCAUUCGUAAUGCGUAGGUCAGGGGUUCAAAUCCCCUUGGGAGCU